UAGAAGGACAGAGUCAACA
rnacentral:piRNA from 1 species